rnacentral:tRNA from 1 species
GCGACACUCGCUUAGUUGAUGAGCAAACCUAGUCAAGGUUGAGGUCACGAGUUCGAACCUCGUGUGUCGCUCCA